rnacentral:tRNA from 3 species
GGGCUGCUAGCUCAGUCGGUAGAGCACAUGACUUUUAAUCAUGGGGUCCUGGGUUCGAGUCCCAGGCGGCUCACCA